GGUUGCCAGGGGCCUUAUCACACAGUGGGGUCAGCCAAUCACAUCUUUGGUUCCAGAUCCCCAGAUCCUGCCUCUCUCUCAGUCUCCUUCAAGCAGACACAGAGAGACCAGCAAGCUCAUCUCUGACCUGCACAUCAACAGCUGGACUCCCUCAAAUCUAUUUGGACAUGUGGGAUGGUGUGCUUGCACAAAGUUCUUCUUGUUCCUCACACAGCUGGGACCUGUGGACAGAGUUUACCAACCACAGAAAACCUGCUAAAGGCCUACUGAAUGGGUGGAUUAAAAAGGGAGGUCCUCCUCUACUUGUUAUGCCAUGUGAUCCCACAAUGCCUCAGCACAGGCUUUCACCCGCAGAGUA